UCCUCACUCCCUCAGACACCCUUCAUAUCCCUAACAGGCAUCGGCUCACCCCAUUCUGAAUUUCUAGAUCAGAAACCAGGGAGACCUUCUGAUUCUUCACCCAGGAGGGUACGAACAAAUAGUCUAAAGGACAAUGGCAUGGUAGAGCACACCUUCAAUCCCAGCACUCUAGACAAUCUCUGUGAAGUGCGAGAAACCUCCGCCUCCGCCAAAGAGAACAGCUUUUCACUUUUUCUGGAAGCUCCUUAAUGAAGUUCCGCUAGAAGGGUGCCAACAAGCCAACUGUUAUCUCAGCCUGGAGAAAGCACAAUGAUCAUUUAUAGAUCAGAAACAAAGGACUUGUUUCCAGGCAGAAAAUGGAGGGGAAGAGUCUAGUUGAAAUGACAGAUAGGCCUAUGUCGGUGAUGUGGAAGGACUUGGGAAGACCAGUUGGAAGCUUGGUGUUUCUCAGAGCAGAGCAGCUAAAAUGGGCUUAGUCAAUUUGGUUCAGCAGUACAGGUGCAAUGCAAGCAC